GUUCGACUAUCCUGAACCCAAUGGUACUGACAGAUUUGGGUUCUGAUGCACGGUUUUCGAGAAAAAGGGUUUUAUUGGAUUUAUAUAUAUAGGUGUGGUUUUUGGAGAUUGGAGGGUGGAUAAGUUACGUCGCAAAUCGGCAACCAAAUUAGAUGAAACAAAAUGGUAGAUUUGAUGCCCCAAUCGUGCUGAACGGGCUGGCGCGAUCCGAUAGGAAAUCCGACGGACGGAUCUCCGGGAAUUUCGAAAAGUUCGCUGAGGGGUCGAAAUUGGCAAAACGGAAAAAUUACGAAA
rnacentral:lncRNA from 1 species